GCCCGCCUAGCUCAAUCGGAUAGAGCGUCAGACUCUUAAUAUGACUGGGUGGGUGAUCUGAAGGCUGCGAGUUCGACCCUCGCGGUGGGCU
rfam:Fistulina hepatica ATCC 64428 unplaced genomic scaffold FISHEscaffold_445, whole genome shotgun sequence.